rnacentral:antisense_RNA from 1 species
AGCGGCCUGCCUGUUCCCAGCUACAGAUUAUGAUGUCUGUGCAGCUGCCUUUCAUUCGCAGCUUCCCUGAAUGGUGCCAAAGUUAAUUCCUUCAGGAAUAGCCCCACCAGUCACAAUGAAGGGGGGUAAUGCCCAGGAUGCCCCCAUCAUUCUCACUCCUGGUGCGGGCUUGCUGCCAUCAACAGCCAAAGGGAGAGGUCAGGCAGCAGAAAAGCUUGGGAGGCCCUGGAAACCCCCAAGCUUCUCCACAACAGUGCCGGUCUCAUCUCUUGCAGCCAAGGCCAGAGUCCCACAUCAUCCAUCCUCAGGUGGGAACCCUGUAAGCCUAUAUUCCACCGUGGGAAGACCAGCAUGCUGUGCAUUGGCUCCAGGGAGCACCACACAGUCCCUGGCACUUCCAACUCUAUGUCCUUUGCAGGCGAAGAAGCUCUAUUAGCAGGUGUCUGAAGAAGGUCGCAGGUGCGAGCAGGUAGAAGCAAAGCAGGUAGAAGCUGGGAGGUGCACACACAAAAUGGGUAAAAGCGAUCCCUGGAGGUCUGGAGAGAGAACCAGGAGUGUCCUGAGGUGCUCUUACCCUCCCAUUGGACAGAUGAGCAAAGUGAGGUACAGGGACAU